CAGUCGCCACGGUAACACGGAGGGUGCAAACGUUAAUCGGAAUUACUGGGCGUAAAGCGCACGCAGGCGGUCUGACAAGUCAGAUGUGAAAUCCCCGGGCUUAACCUGGGAACUGCAUUUGAAACUGUCAGGCUGGAGUCUUGUAGAGGGGGGUGGAAUUCCAGGUGUAGCGGUGAAAUGCGUAGAGAUCUGGAGGAAUACCGGUGGCGAAGGCGGCCCCCUGGACAAAGACUGACGCUCAGGUGCGAAAGCGUGGGGAGCAAACAGGAUUAGAUACCCCGGUAGUCCCUGUCUCUUAUAC
rnacentral:rRNA from 1 species